UAGUUUUACAAGGGUGAAAUAAUAUAAGCAUUACUUCAUGUAUUUCAUGCGUGACUCGUGUUUAAUCAAGUAUGACAAUGGUCCAUAAUGUCCAUGUUGACCCACUUAUUGUGUAAUUAUCUCAUUGUUUCAGCUUCAGCACCAGUCCACAUCCUUUUGACUGCCCACGUGAAUUCACUGAUGCAUCAUGAUAAACCAGAGAAGCUUUGUGAUUUUACUUGUGCAUGAACAUGUUUGUCCUGUGCAUACUUAAGUGCUUAUCUCAAGUUACUCCUUUGCAUGCAGACGGCCUAUUGCAUGUAGUGCUAACCUCACGUGGUGAAGAUGUCUUCCUGCCACGCUGCGCUAACUGCUGUGGUCGCAUGGUUCAAACUCUGCAAAGCCUGAGGCGAGAGAGUGAAGUGUGUCAGCCUGUGCAGCUGAUAACACCGCCUCAGUCACACUUAGGCCAAAGAGUGUUUGCUGGAGAGCCAAAGCGCAUGAUGGGUUUGUGACGCGGCACGCAGCGGCAUUCAAAUACUGAAAUUGGGAGGAACUCAUUUCUAAGAUGACUGAAUUUAGUUUCUCAGCAGGGUUGGAUUGAUAUGAAGCAGAGAACUAAAUGGCACGCAAAGGAGAGAUUGAAAGCGAGAAGCUUCCCCAGGAGGGUGCUGCACAUUCAGAGGUACAAAGAAUCUCCACGCUGACGUCCUGACCAACCAGUAGGAGUCACCAGUGCAGCGAUGAGGAACACUGCCAAUUGGGUUUUAUGGAGAUUGAAACAAUGGAACCCAGGAUUAAAGCUAAAAGCUGCUGUGGUGGGGUGUAUUAUCCCUCUGCAUAUCCACAAAUGUUAAAUAGCCGGUGCUUUUUGCAUCCCCUGGACUCACAACACAGGAUGGUUUGAUGACAUCUCAGAUGACAAGCCAAUUGAGGAUUCCAGCAUUGUUGUAAAUGCAACAAAAUAAAAUGAUUUUAUGGCG